rnacentral:rRNA from 1 species
UACGGGGGGGGCAAGCGUUGUUCGGAAUUACUGGGCGUAAAGCGUGCGCAGGCGGUUUUGCAAGACUGAGGUGAAAUCCCCGGGCUCAACCUGGGAACUGCCUUUGUGACUGCAAGGCUUGAGUGCGGCAGAGGGGGAUGGAAUUCCGCGUGUAGCAGUGAAAUGCGUAGAUAUGCGGAGGAACACCGCUGGCGAAGGCAAUCCCCUGGGCCUGCACUGACGCUCAUGCACGAAAGCGUGGGGAGCAAACAGG